GCACUCACAUCACUGCUCCAUCAUUAUUCACAGGAACCAACCUGGACCUCCACCCAGCUCUGUGUCCUUAAUGAGUGACCACUCAAAACGAGACCCCAUUGAAUUUAAACACCAGCAGGUGUCUGCUGCAGAGAGGAGACCACUGGCUAAAAGGACAUACACAAAAAAACGAGGAACUAAAUGUAAACAUGAGCCUGAACCCAGCUGUAUGUCCUUAAGGAGUAAACAGUCAAAACGUGACCCCAUUGAAUUUCAACAGUCGCCUGCUGGAGAGAGGAGACCAUUGACUCAAACAACAUGCAGGAGAAAACGAGGAACUAAACGUAUAAAUGAACCUGGAACCAGCUGUAUGUCCUUAAGGAGUAAACAGUCAAAACGUGACCCCAUUGAAUUUAAACAUCAUGGGUCUGCAGCAUACAGGUGAGCUGUUAGUAACAUGAAGUCUUUGAGAGGUAUCCUGAUGCAUACUCAGUCAUCCAUUUAAGUUAAUCCCAAAAAGAUGAUUCUGUUCA